rnacentral:rRNA from 1 species
AUUGAACGCUGGCGGCAGGCCUAACACAUGCAAGUCGAACGAGAGGCGGACGGGGGAGUAAUGUCUGGGAAACUGCCCGAUGGAGGGGGAUAACUACUGGAAAAGGUAGCUAAUACCGCAUACCCUCGGAUGUGCCCAGAUGGGAUUAGCUAGUGGGUGAGGUAACGGCUCACCUAGGCGCCGAUCCCUAGCUGGUCUGAGAGGAUGACAAGCCACACUGGAACUGAGACACGGUCCAGACUCCUAGGGGAGGCAGCAGUGGGGAAUAUUGCACAAUGGGCGCAAGCCUGAUGCAGCCAUGCCGCGUGUAUGAAGAAGGCCUUCGGGUUGUAAAGUACUUUCAGCGUGGAGGCGUUACCCGCAGAAGAAGCACCGGCUAACUCCGUGCCAGCAGCCGCGGUAAUAC